UAAAAUGAAAUUAUUUGCAAUAAACAUUAAAAUUUUAGACUAACAUUGUUUUAUUUAUUUCUUUUCAGGUACCCCCACCAGAAGGGCAGGAGCACCGCAUCGUUGAGGGCCUCAGGAGUCAUCACAGGUAAGUUUUGUUGCAUUUUGGCAGUGGUCUGUUGCGGCCACUGGAAGUGGGCCAUUUGCAACAAGUAUGUCCGGCCGGCGUUGCAGGUUAGUAGUUCUCGGUUUCAGCAUCCCUCGCCGCGGUCAUUUGAUUAAGGUAAGUUGUAUCGUUAGUGGCAAGAAUGUAAUCCCACGAAGCUGUCAUUGCGUUUAUAUAGAGCUGCUGGCAUUAUGAUGGUGGAGUUCGUCUCGUUGUGGCAGAGAAGUCGUCAGUGAGGAUUGUGGCUCGAUCUAUCACCGAAUGAAGCCAGGUGCGCCGCGUCUUGUGGCCAUAUCGUCGGGAUUGGCAGCUUGGGGCCGCCAGUUCGAGAUUUGUUACAGAGGGCCGUCGUAACGUUAUAGGCAUGGAAAUGGAUGCAAAAAUAGUAUUUGGUACAUUGAGUGGAAAUUAAAUUAAGGUACUUAAAGGAAGC